AAUACGUUCCCGGGUCUUGUACACACCGCCCGUCAAACCAUGAAAGUCGCCAAUACCUGACGUGCCAGCUUGCCUGGCCCUAAGGUAGGGGAGAUGAUUGGGGUUAAGUCGUAACAAGGUACCC
rnacentral:rRNA from 1 species